GCAGUGGUGGCUCAGUGGUAGAAUUCUUGCCUGCCAUGUGGGAGGCCUGGGUUUGAUUCCCAGCCAAUGCA
rfam:Merops nubicus contig86341, whole genome shotgun sequence.